GGGGGUGAAGGGUCUCGACUUAGGCAAUCGGGAUAUUUGUGGCAUGCCGCGGACGCAGGGUGGGCCGCGUUAACAAUCCUUGCACAAAUAGACGCAAACGAGAACAAAUCGUUAAUUGCAAAAGCAUGGAGUUAUGCCGAGCCAAUUAUGGUUCAGCCAAUGGCUCCUGUUUUCGCAACAGCGCCGUUAGCCCUCGUUCGUUAAAGGAUGAGGCCUUCAAUUAAUCCGCCUGGAGGUUAAUUGAUGUAGUUUUACAGGAUAGUCUUGGUGUCUGCCUUGGGCGCCGGGGCGAAGAAGAAAAAGGCUGGUUCCUAUUUAAUCCUUUCUGUUGGAGUAAAGAGGAGCGAGAUUUAAAAAACAGAAUAAGCAUGUAGAGGCAAAUAUUGCGUUACUUAAGGACGCGGGUUCAAUUCCCGCCACCUCCACCA
rnacentral:tmRNA from 1 species